AUCAUAUCAUAGAAACUUAUUUAACUAAAUUAACCAUUUUCACAUGGACCUAAAUUUGGUAUAGAACAAGUUAAGUUAGAAUAAAUAUAAAAGAUUAUGAAGUCUUAACAAAAAACUAAUAAAAAUUUAAUCAGUAAUGAUUGAUUGGAUUUUUAAAGGUACACGAGAUUUAGGAAAUCAAUGGAGAUAUGUAUAUCAGACGUCACCAACACCAGCUAUGUAACAUCAACUGUUAAUGGAUUAAAUUUUGAACAACUAAAAAGAAAGUAAAACGUUCAAUGUUGACAUAAGAAUCAUCCAAUAUAAAGAGUUGCCAAGUGUUAAGUUGAUUGGCAGGAAUAUGAGAAAAAGAUAAAAAGUGGCAUUGAAGCAGAUAGUUAGUCGGAACUGGCAUGGAUAAAGACAAAAACAUAUGGAGAAAUUUAAACAGUAUACACGUAACGAAAUAACAAAUAUACCAAAAAGCUUCUAAAAAUACCAAAUUUGCUAUUGAAUUUUUCUUCAGAACUAUGUAUGUGUGGCAUAUUUGUAGAAUAUAUCCUCAAAAAUUACUGUACAACUAGCGAAUUAUAAAAUUGACCUGAAUAUGGAAUUAAGACUUUAAAAACAGGAAUGACAACUGAAUAUUUAAAAAAAUGUACCAACAGUUAUUACAAUGGGGAAUGACCUAAAAUACAACAAAACACUUAACAACUGAAUACAUUUGUCAGAAUAAAGUUAAAAACCUUUUGUUUUUCCAAUUUUUACC
rnacentral:lncRNA from 1 species